rnacentral:rRNA from 1 species
CCUACGGGUGGCAGCAGUGAGGAAUAUUGGUCAAUGGGCGAGAGCCUGAACCAGCCAAGUCGCGUGAGGGAGUACUGCCCUAUGGGUUGUAAACCUCUUUUGUCGGGGAGCAAAAGCCGGACGUGUCCGGCUGUGAGAGUACCCGAAGAAAAAGCAUCGGCUAACUCCGUGCCAGCAGCCGCGGUAAUACGGAGGAUGCGAGCGUUAUCCGGAUUUAUUGGGUUUAAAGGGUGCGCAGGCGGAUUUCUAAGUCAGCGGUAAAAUCGUGGGGCUCAACCCCAUCCCGCCGUUGAAACUGGGGAUCUAGAGUGUGCGAGAGGUAUGCGGAAUGCGUGGUGUAGCGGUGAAAUGCAUAGAUAUCACGCAGAACCCCGAUUGCGAAGGCAGCAUACCGGUGCACAACUGACGCUCAGGCACGAAAGCGUGGGUAUCGAACAGGAUUAGAUACCCCAGUAGUC